CUUCCUUUCUCAGUACCACUCCUUUAAAUGCUGCCUGGGCUGUUGGCAUCCAGCUGUGUGCUUUCAGGCUCUGACAACAUCACCAGGAGUGUGUACUGCAGAAGCAUUGUUUCUUCAUUUAAUUAUAUGCCCCUGGCUUUUAUUUUGAGUGAGCUCAGGACCAUGCUCACAGCCUAUUUCUCUGCUGAAGGCUGAAGACCAGAUGUGGCUGUAAACUGGAAACUCUUCAAAGCACAGCUCAGAAAGGCCUAGAGCUGCCAUGUGAGCAGUGUGAAGCCAUGACCACAAGCAGCCUGAAACAUGUCAAGGUCACCCAAGGGAUCACAGAAUCACAAAGGUUGGAAAAGACCUCUAAGAUCAUUGAGUCCGACUGGAUGGGUGUGAAGAAAUGGAAUAAGCUUCAUUACACUGUUAUGUGACAGAAGAGGUUCUAGGAGCUAAUGAAAAUACUGUGGAAAAAGAAGUGUGCACAGAAACACUUUGAUUUGAUUACAAUAAAAAAUUUAUUUUGAUUCA
rnacentral:lncRNA from 1 species